AACGUACGCUGGCGGCACGCCUUAUACAUGCAAGUCGAACGAAGUAGCAAUACUUAGUGGCAGACGGGUGAGUAACAUGUAGGUAUCUUCCCUUUGGUGAGGAAUAACACGAGGAAACUUGUGCUAAUACCUCAUAAGUCUUUACGGAGAAAGCUUUAUGCGCCGAAGGAUGAGCCUGCACUUGAUUAGUUUGUUGGUGGGGUAAUGGCCUACCAAGACUUUGAUCUAUAGCUGAUCUGAGAGGAUGAUCAGCCACAUUGGGACUGAGACACGGCCCAAACUCCUACGGGAGGCAGCAGUAGGGAAUAUUGCACAAUGGAGGAAACUCUGAUGCAGCGAUGCCGCGUGAGUGAAGAAGGCCUUUGGGUUGUAAAGCUCUUUCGUCGGGGAAGAAAAUGACUGUACCCGAAUAAGAAGGUCCGGCUAACU
rnacentral:rRNA from 1 species